CAAAGUGAAGUGAAAUGAAAAUGAAAAUGGCAGCCCAGCCGUACAGCCAUACUACUCGUACUACUACGCCUACCGUCCGAGUCCGAGUCCGAGUACAGUGGAUGCCCAGCACACGUUUACAAAAGGCCAAGAUUUCCUAUGGAUCGACCAAAAUCUUUCAACCCCCAGGAAUCUAGUGCACCUUUAUCUUCUUCAUCUAAUUGAAC